rnacentral:sRNA from 1 species
GCCAGGUGCUCUGGCCCCACCUGUAUUCCUAGCUACUUGGGAGGCUGAGACAGGAGGAUUGCAAGUUUGAGGCCAGCCUGGGCAACAUUAGGAGAGCCUGUCUCAA